GCUUUAGCUCCUUUUGAUAUGAAAAGGUGUCUUAAAAUAUCAACUUCACAAUUCUGUCCAUUAAUAAUGUAGAAGCUUGCUUCAAUUCAAAAUAUUUAAAUAAAUGUCUGAAUGCAGUUUUAAAAGAUGAAUUGAAAUUACGUUAUACUUCUUCACCAGUUUACCAGAGCACACAGAAUUAAAAAUGUUGUCUAGUUGGUACUAGAAAACUAAAACUGUUUCCAUCUAUGCAUAUUUUUAUUCUGUUUUUUUUUUUUUUAAUGUUGUUUUUGUUUUAGGGUAGGCAGUUCUGAAUAAUCCUGCCUGAUAACCUACUUACUCCCAGUGCCCAAGUACAUCCGAUGCUGCGACUUCUUGGACAAAACAAAAACUUUCUGCUGACUAAUGUCUCCACUUUGCCCCAACCUGCUGGAUGCUCUGGAAAGGAGUGAGUGAAGAGCAAAUGGCUGGCAUCAAGAAGCUGACAAGACCCAGAGAUUUUUUUUCAUACUUCCUCUUUGCCUCAACUGCGUGCUGUUGGGUAGGAAAUCCACAGCUCAGUAUUGACGUGUGUGAUUCCCAGUUUGUCUUCUGUGUUGGAGUCCAACUGGAACUGUGCACCAGUGAAGGUCUGCUUCCCAUAUAGGGCCUCUCUGAAAUGGAGCACUCAAGAGACAAAGACUUAUUCAUAUCUAAAAGAGGGAAGAGAAUACAGGAACAAAGAGGAAUUUCUACUGUUUCCUGCUUUGGUAUGUUCGCAAAAAUCAGACCUUUCUAGUGAAUGAAUGCCAGUAACAGCUUUUAUAUCUUUAUGUUAAUUAAUUACCUUUCCUUUCUCAUUGAAGCUUUGCUAGCUGCUAUUCUCAAAUAAAUAACAGAUAACAUAAUGAACUCUUCUGAAU
rnacentral:lncRNA from 1 species